CAUUCCUACGGGAGGCAGCAGUGGGGAAUAUUGGGCAAUGGGCGCAAGCCUGACCCAGCAACGCCGCGUGAAGGAAGAUGGCUUUCGGGUUGUAAACUUCUUUUAUGAGGGACGAAAGAAAUGACGGUACCUCAUGAAUAAGCCACGGCUAACUACGUGCCAGCAGCCGCGGUAAUACGUAGGUGGCAAGCGUUAUCCGGAUUUAUUGGGUGUAAAGGGCGUGUAGGCGGGAAUGCAAGUCAGAUGUGAAAACUAUGGGCUCAACCCAUAGCCUGCAUUCGAAACUGUAUUUCUUGAGUGCUGGG
rnacentral:rRNA from 1 species